rnacentral:lncRNA from 1 species
AAUCAUGGUUUAGGAGUGGGUUUAAAAAUCUGCUGAGCCUCUUGGCUAAAUCAUAUUAGAAAUAACAGUCUUGAGUUCACCUGAUUUUCUCUGACAUUUAUUGGAAAACUGCUAACUAACGUUUACCACGAUUUCAGAAAGUCACUCAGCUACUUCAAGGCACAUUUUCGAUCGCACGUCCAAGUGAGAGCCGUUCAAGACCAGACGCCACGCCAGAGACAGGGGGUUUUCCUCUGCGGCCGGAGAGGCUGGUCUUUGUUUUAAAUAACCAGGCAGAAUGUGCUGGCUUUGAGGGGAUUCAAGGCUUUCUCUUCCCUCCCCCUCUCUUCUUUCUCCUUGGCCUCUAGUUUUUAAGAAAAAUGCUGAUGGUUUUCAAAGGUAACGUGGCAGCGAUGCGCACGGAGAGAGGCGGGGACGGUGCCAAGGAGGGGCUUUAUUUUGACUCUCGUGCCUCCCGUCUUAACAAAACGUGCAUUAAUAUCUUCCUUCCUUCCUCCCCCGACCCCUCCCUCCCUUGCUUUUGCAACCCAAGGAUGUGGGCACGUUUGGUGGGGGACCUAGAGGUCUUGUCACUUUUUUGCAGAAAUGCCUCCCUUCACUUACCGUUCAAUAUCACCCGCUGGUUUUACUCUAGGUAAAAAAUAAGCCGUGUAAGAGGGACAGAAGAAGGCUGGGCUCUCUUUAGUAAACUCUACGAUGCUGUAUCGGGCUCCCCGCUUUUUUUUUUUUUUUUUUUUAAUAAAGAGGGGGAUCCACACUUCUUUUUACUGGUUCAUGAGAAUUUUUGCUUUUAGGCGCCCAGGAAACGGCGCUCAGUUUAAGGCCGGGAGAUGGAAAUAAUGUAUCUAUGCCCUGGUGUAUGUGUCUCAUUUUUUAUUCUAGUUAGUUUCGGGUGUGUUGCUCAAAACAUACACUAACUGCGCCUCACCGUCUCCUCCACGUCAAGUACGGUUUUCUUUUGAGUCCUUGCAAAUCCACUUUGGAAGAAAGUGUGGUCCCCGCUCUCUGAAGCAGCUCCACUCUUUUUCUGCCUUUUCUUGGCGCCUCCUGGUCCUCAGGGGGAUUUUCUUUUCAGGUGGCACAACUGGGAGUUCCAGGGACCCGCACUUCCGACAGCCCUCAGGGCCCGAGAACAGUGAGGACACUGUGUAUUAGGCCCUUCGAUCCCUCCGAUGAGCUGAGGCUCGGAUCGGGGUUAAGGGGGGACACUUCCUCCCGGACCGAGGGGGUCAGGGCUACUCUUGCCCUUUCUGGAUAAGGCAGCUGCUGACCUUACGUCCAGAGACCGACACGUUAGGAGAAGAACGGCUAAUUCUUCUCUUUUCUCUUGGUUCUUUUCUGCCUUGUUUUUAAGCUGUGGAAAGGACUUCUGGAAAUGCUGCCCAUCUGACGUCUUAUUCUUCUGUACGUGGGGCCCCUCGCAGCCACCCUGCUGAAGAGCAUGGGCCCAGGGCGCCAGACUUUUUAGAAGGCUCCUUUCUGGUUUUCUAUUUCUGAGGACCCUCAACGUGAAGAAAGGCAAACUUGGUAUUCAAUAACCACCCAGGAUGGAGCUGUCAGCUCGAGGUGUCAAGAGAACCGGUUUAUAAAAAGCCUGGUUAAAUAUAGGAAGUACAGUUGCAUUCCAGGUAACCGGAGAUUUGAACACCCAAUACGACUUUAAGGGAAGCAAUCUGUUUUGGCCCAUUUUCAGGGAUAUAUAAUAUAUUACACCUAUUUUAAGACCUAUCAGUUUUCCUCCUUAGCUGUUUCUCAACUCGACCAGAAAACGCUUCCUCUAGCCUCACUCGUGUUCCAGGAUGAGCCAUAUGUGUAUUCCUUACCUUUCUCUUCCCCCAACUACAAUAAAUACAUUCUUAACUAUUACACAUACAUACCCUAAUGUUUGCUGUUGUUGUUGUUUUUAAAAAAACCCAAAUGUUAAGUACUCCAUUAUGAUUUAAUCUUCUACCACCAGAAUCCAAAACCUGAAAUUUGAGGGGUUUCUGGUCUUAUUUUAAAAGAAAAAAUUAAAAAAGGAACAUUCAUGAAUAGUUUGGCAUCUUUUACUAUUUCAACGUUUUAUAAAUUUUUCUUUUAGGGCCACACCUGCAGCAUAUGGAAGUUCCCAGGCUAGGGGUCAAAUUGGAAACGCAGCUUCUGGCCUACACCACAGCCACGAUAACACCAGAUCCAAGCCACAUCUGCAACCUACACCACAGCUCAUGGCAAAGCCUACCGAGGGAGGCCAGGGAUGGAACCCAAAACCUCGUGGAUACAAGCCGGGUUCAUUACUGCUGAGCCACAACGGGAACUCCAACAUUUUAUAAUUUUAACUAUCUUAGAAAUCCCGUUUUUUUCCCUUCCUUGUCAGUAGGGCGGGGGCUUUACUGUGUCGAGACUCUGUCUCCUCAUCUGUAAAAUGGGGCCACUACCUGCGUUGCAGGUGGUUUUAAGGAUUUAAAGGUAACCUACACCUGAUGCCUGGCACACAAAGAGCCGCUCACCCUCCCCAAGCACUGCUGUUUUGCACCUGCCAACCUAGGCAGGCAGCCCUUGGUCGUGGAGGGCCUGCCCACCUCAGCUUUGGCCCACCCACCCUAACAGCCUACACUGCACCCAGGUUGUGUGAGUGGCAAUUCAUCAUUUUAAAAGACACGUGGCUAAUUUUUCUGCUCCCACUACUACAAAGAGUCCCGGGGCUCCUCCAGGAUCGAAUUUCCCGUGGCCCCUAGGGGUAGAAAGAUGAAUUGUUUGAUUACCAGGAGAAACAAGAGCCUGUGUGUCGGGCUGCUUUGCAAAUCAAUUCACCUCCCCACAAAGAUGCUCCUUCCUACUUAAGAUACAUGGCUUUGCAAGGCGUUUGGCAGCAUCCGUGUUUGCCGUGUCAGAGGGCAAGGUGCAUGCAGAUGUAAUAUCACCAAGCACUGUAAUCUGAGUGUGUAAGAAAAAUAACUGCAGACGGCGGGCUGGAGCCCGAGGGGACCCUUUUGCCACGGGCCCUGACAGCACCUCAAAUAAGCACCUUACCUAAUCUCCCUUGGUGAUGCCUGUCUGUGCCCAGUGAUUUCAUGCAGCUGCCAUCUGCUCACCACUGAGGGCAUGUUGAUGGUGGCAGUACUGUAAUUACAGCCAGGGUCUCUGAUGGCCACGUAGGCCCACUGCCGAGAAGGGACAAGACCCUGACAAAACGGGUGGGAGGGAGCCAAGGGGUGAACGUUACAGCCAGCAUGGUGGGCUAAAGCUUCUCCUUUCAUUUAACUCUGUAUCCCCAGGGCUUGACAUGGAGGAAUGCCCAGUAAAUACUGGGGAUGGAAAGGAGUGAAUAAAGGCCCCCCAAGAGUUGGCAUCGCCAGCACUAGGCAACCAUCAUUAUCUACAUACAGUUUGGGGGCUUUUUUUUUUUUUUUGGUCUUUUAGCCUUUUCUAGGGCCGCUCCCAUAGCAUAUGGAGGCUCCCAGGCUAGGGUCUAAUUGGAGCUGUAGCCACUGGCCUACACCAGAGCCACAGCAAUGCAGAAUCCGAGCCACAUCUACAACCCACACCACAGCUCACGGCAACACUGGAUCCUUAACCCACGGAGCAAGGCCAGGGAUCGAACCCACAACCUCAUGGUUCCUAGUCAUAUUCGUUAACCACUGAGCCAUGACGGGAACUCCUGGGGGCUAUUUUACAAAUAUUUGUAACGAGCUGUUUAUAAUAUAUGGACAAAUCCAUUCAUUCACUCAUCAAAAAUGCACUGAAGGGCCACUCUGCCCAAGGUCUGGUAACCUUUGUACUUCGGGACCUCAACCCAGAUCCCAGGACACAAAGGGCACUGAGCACGUGUCAGAUGCAGGGAUGGAUCGGGACCAGGGAAGGAAGAGCUGAGCCUGUGGAGAAAGUAUACUUCUGCCACCCUCUAGGUCUGCAGAGCCCCUGUGUCCCAGCCAAGUUCAAUACUCCUUGGGGCAGAUGGACCUGGGGCUUCCUAGGCCACCAUGCACCGCAGCUGCCCUGAAGGAGGGCUCUGAGGGCUACAGGGGCUCCGAGACCCUAGGAGGCUCAGCCUCAGAAGGACACAAGAGACCAAGGAUGAGCCCCUCCAGUGACAGUGGGGAAACCGGGCUGAGAGAAGGGUCACGGGGCUAGGACUGAGCUCCGGGAUGUUGACUAGCCUCUGCCCAGCUGCGCCCACAGCACCUCCCCUUAAGCUGGGCAACACUCGUGAGCUGAUGCUCUAGGGAGGAAGAGACGGCCAGUGAAGGAGGAACGAACGCAUCCAUAGAGCGCUCUAAGUGCUCGGCAGGAAAGAACCAGCGUGGGCUGGGAGGGACGGGGGUGAACCAACGCCCCCACUUACUCAUCUUGCUUAAGCCUCUCUGAGGUGCAACACCUCGUGUGUACACGGGGAGGCUAAUGAGAGUACCUGUGUCACGGGGCUCUAACGAGAUGCUGACGACAUAGUCUCGCGUAGAAUGGGAGCGCUUUGUCAAUAGUGAAAUGACAGUGAUUAUAUUGCUUUUAUUUAGAUAGAGGGGUCAGGGUCGGCCUCUGAGGACGUGAUCUUUGAACUGAGUCAGAAAGAUGAGACAGCAUCAUCAAGAGGAGCAAGGUGUGCAAAGGCCUUGAGGCAGGUGCAGGCUGUGUGCGUUUGAGGAACGGAAAGAAGACUGGACUGGCUGGAGGGGACAGGGCAAGACUGGGCAUGGUGUGAAAUAAAAUCUGCAAGGUGGGCAGGACUCCAGGCCUGCAGGACAAGCGAGCCGGGUACAGAGCGUAGAUUUUUAUCUUAAGUAGAGCGCCGAGCCACUGGGGUGUAAGGGCACAGCUGAUACAAUACUGCUGAGUAACAAGCAACCCUGAAACCUCAGGAGUUCACAAGACCACGUUUCUUUCUCUCCUAUGCUGGGCUCUGGGCUGGUGGGGAGGGUUGCCCAGCAUGAGCUGGGCUUGGCUGAACUUGGUCCCCAGUGGAAAGUCAGGUUCAGGUCUUCCUUACCUUUCUCAUUCGGAGGCUCCAGCUGCAGAGGCACCGGACAUGAGAAAAGUGCAAGGGGCAAAAACCCAGUCAUGCAGCCCAUUUCGAGACUCCGCUCGCAGCGUGGUAGCACAGAUUCCACGGGCGAAACAAAGUCA